AACGAACGCUGGCGGCGCGUCUUAACCAUGCAAGUCGAGCGGCAGGCAGCAAUGCCGAGAGCGGCGGACUGGUGAGUAACACGUGGAUAACGUACCCCGAUGCCCGGGACAGCCUGUAGAAAUAGAGGGUAAUACCGGAUAGGUCACCGUUUUUGUAAGGAAGACGGCGGGAAAGGAGCUUCGGCUCCGCGCUGGGAUCGGUCUGCGGCCCAUCAAGCUCGUUGGUGAGGUAAGAGCUCACCAAGGCGAGGACGGGUAUCCGGCCUGAGAGGGCGGACGGACACAUUGGGACUGAGAUACGGCCCAGACUCCUACGGGAGGCAGCAGUAAGAAUAUUCCGCAAUGGGGGGAACCCUGACGGAGCGACGCCGCGUGAACGAAGAAGGCCGGAAGGUUGUAAAGUUCUUUUCUGUUCGAGGAAUAAGUGUCGGAGGAAAUGC
rnacentral:rRNA from 1 species